ensembl:misc_RNA Vault Vault RNA
GGGCCGGCUAUAGCCCAGCGGUUCCUUCGGCUGAUUGCGUUUCCCUCGCACUCGCCCCGUCAGGGGUUCGAUCCCGCGGGCACCCCUGGCCCUUUU